rnacentral:rRNA from 1 species
UACGUAGGUGGCAAGCGUUGUCCGGAUUUACUGGGCGUAAAGAGCGCGCAGGCGGUCGUUCAAGUCGCGUGUGAAAGCCCCCGGCUCAACUGGGGAGGGUCACGCGAUACUGAUCGACUCGAAGGCAGGAGAGGGUAGUGGAAUUCCCGGUGUAGUGGUGAAAUACGUAGAUAUCCGGAGGAACACCAGCGGCGAAGGCGGCUUUCUGGUCUGAUACUGACGCUGAGGCGCGAAAGCGUGGGGAGCGAUCCGG